UCAUUUUUUGAAUAGUUAAAAAAAAGAAAAAAAAAAGUAAAAGUCUGUUUGAAGAAGAAAAAAAGGCAGUUGCGUGCGGUGGGCAGCUACAUCCUCAAUCCAGUUGUCUUGCAAAUCGCUCCACUUAGGGUACAUCUCAGCACUUGCCGGAAAAAGGGAACAGGAAAAGUGUGAUGGGGAUUAUAAGGAGCAGUUUCUCAUUCAUAUCAGGAACUGUUUGCGGAAUAUACAUAGCUCAGAACUACAACGUCCCCAACAUUCGAAAGCUUAUUGAGAACGCUUUAUUCAAGGCCAAAGAUGUCGAAGAGAAAUAUCGCAAGCCCCCCAAGCCUGGCGAUCGCCUUUAGAUUUCACUCUCCAUAUUUCAGGUUAACCAUUCCUAAAUCCCCAAUUCCUUCGUGAAUACUUAUUUCUAAUGUCCAUAACAGUUCAACCGAGACAAUCAAAAAUUGUGUGACCUUUAUAGCAUGCUAGAUUGAAAUCUUCAAGUAAAUUUUACCUGUUAAUGAUGAUUUUUCGCUCGCCUUUUUACUUGACUUUCUCUAUAUCAAACUGUGCGCCAGAGGAAUAAUUUCGCCCUUUGGGCCGACCGAUCAGUUGAAUGCGUACUCAAUCUUCAAUUAGUAUCACUUAAAUUUGUGUAAUUAUGUUUAUGUGGCGCUCGAUGUUCCAAUUAAAUCUCUCAAGUUUUAGCAGGAUUUUAGACUGAUUGCCUUUCCUUUUAUAGGAAAAGAUCUGAAUGGUAGACCAGUGUUCACUACCAAUCCUUUGAGAUAGAGACUGAGAGCUACAAUAAUACAAUUUUAUAACAAAAUUUUCCUGUUAAAUAUUGUGUUGCUAUGCAUCCAUUCUGGUUCAUGGUUUAUCAGCUAGAAGUUUUGUUUGUAAUGGUGAAUAGUUGCAUAAUUUGUCCGGUACGUACAAUUGGCUGCUUGCAUAUUGUAAUCUUUUAGUCGGCUACCUUUAGACCUUUUUACAUUGAAAUUUGCACCAUACCAAGGAACUGUGGAAUGUUUGUUUGGCUGCGGAUUCUAGGACAUUUUCUAAUUGGGACUUAGCCAUCUAGCUUUUUGGUUGAUCGUUUGAAAAUACUAAGCAGAACACAUUUGGAAGUUCUUUUCUGUGAUGUCUGACACUGGUCCGGCAGCUAUUACCUAUUUGGCGCUGUUCCUCAGUGUUCUGAAGAGAUUGCAUUUUCUGGGAGGUAAGAACAGUCUAAGUGUAAUGUACCUUUGAAUGAUUCUGAAGAGGUUUUGAAAAAUAAUUUUUGUAGGAUUAUAGUGUCUGGAAAAAGAAAAACUAUCUUCUGAAACAGUUAUGUGGAAGGAUGUUUUUCUGAAAACAGAAACUAAAUAGCAACAUGAUUUUGCAAAAGUAUCACUUAGACCCAUGUCACUCAUUCCGACGCCAUUAGAAAUUGGGGACAAUUGAUGAUAAAAGUGCGCUUCUGUUUUCUUAAAGGCUUCUCUAGCGUAUGGAAUUGUGGCUAUAUCUGGUGCAUUGGCUACUUCCUGCGGAGUUGCUUCUUAUUCCCUUGGUACUUCACAGCACUUAUAGCUUGUUUUGAGAUCCAGAAAGAUCAGAUUCCUAGAGUCAAAAACAAGUGUUUGCUUAAUUUGUUUCUGUGGUGUAAAAGUAGUCUCAUAGAAAACAUUGAUCAAUAUAUGGAUUUCUUGGAAUUGUUAGGGAAAUGUUGUAACUAACUGCAUGGAUACUCCCAGCAGCAGCUAUGUGUAAUUCUGUGGUACCAUCUUGGUACUAGUUAAUAAAACCUUACCUUAUCAACAACAACAAAAAAAGGGGUCAAAGGUUGCAAAUAAAAUGCAUUUGAAGCCGUAUGUUUGUUAAAAUGAUCACAUGCAUAUGUAGUUUACUCGUUCCUUUGAAUUGCCAGAUAUAGGUGUAUGAAUACCGUGGCAUAGAUCUCCACAACAGUUGAUUGUAGAAAGGAGUUUAUCCAGCUUAUCUUAACAUGUUAUAGUAUUUUUCAGGAUCAAAUGGGUUUUAGCAUGUUCAGUUAAUGCUCAGGUUAGCUCCUAAGAAAGGCUAGUAUGUCUUCAUGACGUUUCAAUUCUAAGCUCUGAGAGGGCAGUUCCAUUUCCAAGGUGAAACUAACUAAUUUUAUGAUUGGCCUCGAUUCUUUGUUCAAAGAUAAAAUUUUCGAAAACCAUACAUGUUGCCACCCAGAACCUACACUUGGAUUCAACGUCAGAUUGUGCUUCCUCAUUACUUUAUAGCCCCAAGACAAUUGCUCUUUAUCUCUCUUAGCAGCAUAUUGUCUGCAUAGCCUCCAUAGUGUGUGCAAGCAUUCUUGGAGACGUUCUCAACAUUUUUGAACAAUUUACUUACCAACACCUGAUUCAUCCUUUAAGCACAAUUUAUUACCGACCUCAUGAUACGUGUCCCAAUGUUUUUUCCCUGAAUAGCAUAACCAUAUAUAAGUCUGUCCCUCGGCCUUGAGCUGUAAAAAAGAAAGAUAUUUUUUUGGUCCUCUGGUGCUAGCUGGAUCUGAUGAUAUCAUUGAUAGGCACACUGGAAGCUUAGUAGUUCGCACCCAGAUGUUGCAUCAACAAUCGGCUAUUUGGAUAGGGAAAACAAUCCUUCAAUCCGUACAGUGGACCUAUUGAAGUAUGAAGUAGCAGACUCCAUGCUGUUGGAUUUAACAAGUUAUUUUGAUGGGCUACCCUUUCGUGGUUUUAUUUAUUGUAAUUGAUAUUGUUAUUAUUUAGGAACCGAUGUCUGUUUUAAGUGGUCGUAUAGCAUUGUUUUAUAUCUGGCUGAUCCCUCUUCUGAAAAUGUAAUGUUAAACAACGAGUUUCAUCCUCGGGGGCAUUACAGAAGCUACUUGAACAAUGUUUCGAUCGCAA